rnacentral:lncRNA from 1 species
GAUUGUGCAUGAAGUUACCUCUGAUUGUGAUUAGGCAACUCUCUGGUUUUCCGAUUUUGAUUCUGUGACUAGUGUUGGUUUUCCGAUCGAGUUUGCAUCGUUUCUGGUUUAGAUGGAGACUCGACGCAGGAGGCAACAUCAUUCGCCAAUGCGACAGCGGAUUUCGCCGCCUCGGCGGCCUUAUCGUGUGGACCUGGAUUCUCCGGUGCGAACGGCAGGAGUACAGUCGCCCUCUCCUCCUCCAUCACCACCACCUCCUCCAUCGCCUUCACAGGUGGGAUCUCGG